rnacentral:lncRNA from 1 species
CUUAUGUAGAAUAGUGAUGGCAUUCAUGAUUCUCAUCCUAGAUGGUAUCCAUGUUAUAUUUGUGCGAUGAUAUGGUUUAUAAAGAACCACCAAUUUAGGUUUUUUAUUGUUUUGGUAUAAAAAAAGAUUUCUUGAGCAAACAAAUUGUACUAUCGAAGAAGUAUUAUCUCCAUCUCCCUAUUACUUUUUUUUUAAAGAUGUUAUACUAUUAUGUUAUUUUUGGCAUGAUUUUAGAUACUUGGAGUAGCUGCUUCAAUAUUAUUAACUAUUUGGUUGAAACUACACUUUUUAUUUCAUGGACUUCUUCUCAUAUUAUUAAUUGCACUAACUAUAAUUGAAUGUAAAGAUUUCUUGCAAUUGGUUCUAUUUAUGAUCUCUCUUCUCUUGUGUAUAUAAACUUAGAUGGAUCCAUAAUAAAACCAAGAGAUUAGUGUUUCAAGUUUUUAUUUUUAUUGAUUCAUUUUUAUAAAUCCAUUUAAAUUAGUUGAUAGCUAAAAGAUUAAUUUUAUUUUUUAAACUUUUUUUAGUUAUAAUUCAAUUUAGAUAAGCUUUAAUUUUUUAAAAUUUCUACAAUUAUAUAGCUUUUUUAUCCUUUUGACUAUUUUAGAUAAUAUAUUCAACUUCUAAAGCAUAUAAUUAUAGUCUAUUAUUA